GACGAACGCUGGCGGCGUGCUUAACACAUGCAAGUCGAACGGAAAGGCCCCUUUGGGGGUCCUCGAGUGGCGAACGGGUGAGUAACACGUGAGUAACCUGCCCUUGACUUCGGGAUAACUUCAGGAAACUGGGGCUAAUACCGGAUAGGAAUCCUUGCUGCAUGGUGGGGGUUGGAAAGCUUCGGCGGUUUUGGAUGGACUCGCGGCUUAUCAGCUUGUUGGUGGGGUAGUGGCUUACCAAGGCUUUGACGGGUAGCCGGCCUGAGAGGGCGACCGGCCACAUUGGGACUGGGAUAGGGCCAGACUCCUACGGGAGGCAGCAGUGGGGAAUAUUGCACAAUGGGCGGAAGCCUGAUGCAGCAACGCCGCGUGCGGGAUGACGGCCUUCGGGUUGUAAACCGCUUUCAGCAGGGGCGAAGCUUGUGGUGACGGUACCUGCAGAAGAAGCACCGGCUAACUACGUG
rnacentral:rRNA from 1 species